AUCACACGUGACAUGAUGAUGAUGGAGGUGCGUGUUCAUCAUCAGCUGAUUGGCUACAGGUGUGUUCGGUUGCUAAGCACCGCGCAGAGAACAGAGAGGAGAAGCUUCAGUGUUUGUUUUUUGCAUCCCGUCAGAUGUUUUAACCGUUUCUCUCUCAGUCUUUAUGAAAUAACAUUACACAUCCGGGUUAAAUGUGUUCGCAACAGUUCCUCUAACGUCAGCUUUCUAUACGAACAGAUCAUCGACCGUAAUUUGGACGUCGUUUUCAUCCGGACAUGGGUCGACACAAGUACCGUGUCAGACGUGACAGCGGAUUACCCAACAAACGAGAUACACCCGUGAAAGCAGCACUGAACAGACGAGAGAAGUACAAGACGCGUUAUGAAGCAUUAUCUGAGGAGAUGACUGUCAGACCAAACAAUCCAGUGUUGACAAGCAUUAAGCCUGUCCACUGCAAAUCUGUGUUACGCUCGAGCAGCCUUCCAUUUACUGAAAACCCCAGAGACAAAGCCGUCUCGCCUGCUGCGCCAGCUACUAAAAAAUCUGGCUACAGAGUGUCACCAGCAGGUCACACAGCCAUUUGCAUGACUCCCGAGCCAGUGGCUUUUAAAGGUGGGGAUAUUCCAGGUAAAGAAGAAGAGCAAAGCUUGGCAGUGACUACGGAAAGCAUCACGUGUUCUAGCAUGGAGUCAGACAACACUUGCAGCUCUGAUGAUGAUGAUGAUGAUGAUGAUGAUGAUGAUGAAGACUGUUAUUCCUCUGCCUCUACAAGUUCCAGCAGUUUUCCUUCCCCAGAGAUAUUCAGAAGAGAGAGCUAUGUGGAAACCUUGACUUUCCCCAUUAAGUUGGAGCCGGGUCUCCAUCUUCACAUAAAAAACUCCACCCUGCUGGAUGAGAGCCACGCAGAGGGCAUCUACAUGUAUCAUCCCCCCAACCUUUCUGACAUCACCGAUAGCUCUACGAUUGUUCCUGAAACGAACUGUGAGAUCAACCAAAACAGAGAACCUGAAGCUGAGACCAAAAUACAUACGGACUCUUUCAAAUCAGAGAAGGAUGUCAAGUGGAAAACCCCAUCAAAACUCACCAACAGAAGGCCCAUUUUGUACAAGAAGAAGGUAUGGUUCAAAAGCCCCAUCAUUGCUGAGACCGUUGAAGCAAAACACAUCCUAGCCACCAAAUUAACUAUUUACAACGCCAAUGAACCGGCCCACACAUCCAGCACGGCUGAGCAGAUUCAGCCUGACGCAGACACAUUCACAGCGGACUGUGGCAGACAUCUGGUUAUGAAAAUGCAUCCAAAUCAGCCUCUGAUAUCUUUGUAUUUUGCAGUUAUCAAACAAGUGUCUGGUGCAAAAUGACCACUAGAUGUCAGACCUGCAUUUUCUUAAAUAGUCAUAUUUUGAGUGAUUGUUUUUCCAUUUUCCAUAUAUGAAAUAUACAUGUUGUUUGUGCUUAUCUGUAUUUAUUAUCUUGGCAUAUGUGCCUAAUCUAAAUGUUUAAUGUAAGCUAAAAGAUCAAAUAUUCGUUCAUUUGACUUUGUGGUUUUCUAUAUUUGUGAGUCAAUGGCUUUGCAAAUUUACACACUUCUGAGCGUCAAAAAUAAAUUAAUGUACAAUAAAUCGCCUUCAUAAAUAAAUAAUUCUUGUUGGACCCCGCUUUGUGUGUGUUUAGCACAAUUCCGGCUUUUCCAUUUAACUCUUUUCUCAUGUAAGACUUUGAAUGAUAUUCGACCCUGUCUUGCAAACACCUCAGCAAGUCGCAC
ensembl:lncRNA uncharacterized LOC115019010